rnacentral:rRNA from 1 species
CAGUCGCCGCGGGAAUACGUAGGUGGCAAGCGUUGUCCGGAAUUAUUGGGCGUAAAGCGCGCGCAGGCGGUUUCUUAAGUCUGAUGUGAAAGCCCCCGGCUCAACCGGGGAGGGUCAUUGGAAACUGGGAAACUUGAGUGCAGAAGAGGAGAGUGGAAUUCCACGUGUAGCGGUGAAAUGCGUAGAGAUGUGGAGGAACACCAGUGGCGAAGGCGACUCUCUGGUCUGUAACUGACGCCGAGGAGCGAAAGCGUGGGGAGCGAACAGGAUUAGAUACCCCCGUAGUCCCUGUCUCUUAUAC